ACAGACAGCCCCCAGAAUGAAACCAAGACAUGUCAGGACAGACAGACAGCCCCCAAAAUGAAUCCAAGACACGUCAGGACAGACAGACAGCCCGAGUGCCAGGACAGACAGCUGCAGACAAACAGCCCACAGAUGGGACCUGACUCACGGAGGGUGGGGCAGGGAAGGAAGGGGCUCCCAACCCCAAACCCUCUCUGCAGGCAAACCCAAAGCCGAGGUGGGGAUGGAGCAGGGUGGAGCUGGGCAGAGGAGGUCGGGAAAAGCUCCGGGAAAGAAUCCGAGGCCGCCCAGAGCUCGGUGAACAGGAGUUUUGGGUGCCUGGGGAGCUUCUGGUGCUUCCCGACCUCUGCUGCCUGCUGAGAGAGAGGAGGGGAAGUGCGCUGAGGGUCCCCAGCUGGAGUGGGGAGCAGGAAUUCCAGAGGAAUUCCAGGUGAAGCCACCUGCCCCAAGAGCAGAGGAGAAACCAAGAGGCUGAGCUCAUCCAGCCCUGCAGGUCCUGGAUGUGGCUUUGGGUUUGUUUUGUUUUUCUGAGAACAAAGCCCCGCUCUGGUCCCACAGCCCUCAGUGCCAGCUGGGGCUCUCCUCCCCUCCACUCCCAUGGAGUUCCAUGGAAUCACGGAAUUAUUCCUGCUGGGAAAGCCCUCUAAGACCACUGAGCCCAAACAUGAGCCCGGCGCUGCCAAGCCACCACGAAACCGCGUCCGCAGCUUUUAAACCCCUCCCCUGCUGCGCGCCCGGAGUUCCACGAAACGCAUCUCCCAGAUCUGUCAUUCCACGGAGAGGAGACAUCGCAGAGCCCCGGCCGUGCUCCCCAGCCCGUGGCACCAUUCAUUCCCUGCCAGGAGGGGAGGCUCUGCACCCGCCCAGGAAAAGCCCGGCGGCUGGAGGCUCCCCAAAAUUCCCGGGGGUGACUGCGGCAGGCAGAGCUGGCUCUGGGGAGCUGAUCCGUGGGCAGCCCUCUCCUCAUCCCCAGGAUGGUUUUGGGGAUCCCUCUCCUCAUCCCCAGGAUGGUUUUGGGGAUCCCUCUCCUCAUCCCCAGGAUGGUUUUGGGGAUCCCUCUCCUCAUCCCCAGGAUGGUUUUGGGGAUCCCUCUCCUCAUCCCCAGGAUGGUUUUGGGGAUCCCUCUCCUCAUCCCCAGGAUGGUUUUGGGGAUCCCUCUCCUCAUCCCCAGGAUGGUUUUGGGGAUCCCUCUCCUCAUCCCCAGGAUGGUUUUGGGGAUCCCUCUCCUCAUCCCCAGGAUGGUUUUGGGGAUCCCUCUCCUCAUCCCCAGGAUGGUUUUGGGGAUCCCUCUCCUCAUCCCCAGGAUGGUUUUGGGGAUCCCUCUCCUCAUCCCCAGGAUGGUUUUGGGGAUCCCUCUCCUCAUCCCCAGGAUGGUUUUGGGGAUCCCUCUCCUCAUCCCCAGGAUGGUUUUGGGGAUCCCUCUCCUCAUCCCCAGGAUGGUUUUGGGGAUCCCUCUCCUCAUCCCCAGGAUAUCCGUGGGCAGCCCUGUCCUCAUCCCCAGGAUGGUUUUGGGGAUCCCUCUCCUCAUCCCCAGGAUGGUUUUGGGGAGCUGAUCCGUGGGCAGCCCUGUCCUCAUCCCCAGGAUGGUUUUGGGGAUCCCUCUGCUCAUCCCCCAGGAUGGUUUUGGGGAUCCCUCUGCUCAUCCCCAGGAUGGUUUUGGGGAGCCCUCCCCUCACCCCCAGGAUGGUUUUGGGGGCUGAUCCAUGCACAGCUCUCCCCUCACCCCCAGCCCCAGCCCUGGGGGAGGUCACCCCGCGCUCGCAUGACUCGGGAAGCCGUGAAAAUGAUGAAGCUUCACAUGUUGAGUCAUUCCACCAUCAGGAGAGGAAGCAAUGAAUUGCAGAGAUACAGAGGUGGUAACUAA
ensembl:lncRNA